rnacentral:SRP_RNA from 1 species
ACCGGGUGCCGUGGCGGGCGCCUGUGAGCCAGUGUCUAGGCGGUAGACUGGUGUGGAUGGAGUGAGGGGAGGAGUCCCGCGGUGGCCGUGGAGUGCGGCGACCGGGCGUCCGUGUCAAGCGUUGCGUCGCCAGGGUUGUGCCGUCGGAGGAUGGCAUGUCCCGGGCGGUCAAGGAGUGGUGUACGGCUCAGGACCGAAAGGGAGCAGGCAAAAACCAC